rnacentral:rRNA from 1 species
GACGAACCGAGCGAACGUUAUUCGGAAUCACUGGGCUUAAAGGGUGCGUAGGCGGGCGUGUAAGUCAGGGGUGAAAUCCCACGGCCCAACCGUGGAAGUGCCUCUGAUACUGCGUGCCUGGAGGGGGAUAGGGGCGUGCGGAACUUCCGGUGGAGCGGUGAAAUGCGUAGAUAUCGGAAGGAACACCGGUGGCGAAAGCGGCGCGCUGGAUCCCUACUGACGCUGAGGCACGAAAGCCAGGGGAGCAAACGGG